rnacentral:rRNA from 1 species
GAUUUCUGGUACGGCGCGCUUGGCCCGCCAGGGUUACCUGGUUGUGUGCUGGUGCGCGCCUGCCAUCCUUUUGCAUAUCAGUUCUAUCCUUUACUGGUGUGAACUGGUGUGCAAAUCAUUUACUUUGAAAAAAUUAGAGUGUUUCAAGCAGGCUUUAUGCUAUGAAUACAUUAGCAUGGAAUAAUAAUUUAGGACUUCGGUUCUAUUUUGUUGGUUUCUAGGACUGAAGUAAUGAUUGAUAGGGAUAGUUGGGGGUGCUAGUAUUCAGCGGCCAGAGGUGAAAUUCUCGGAUUCGCUGAAGACUAACUUAUGCGAAAGCAUU